GGAGACUCCCAUUCCCCUCACAGAGCCACAAUUUCCAGAGUAAUCAGUCCCUAUUCCCAAGGAAAUUUGAGAUUUGUAGCUCUCUGAGGUGAAUAGAGGUCUU